GCAGCCGCGGUAAUUCCAGCUCCAAUAGCGUAUAUUAAAGUUGUUGCAGUUAAAAAGCUCGUAGUUGAAUUUCGGGAUUAAUGUUUCGGUCAUGCCGUUGGUAUGUACUGAUAUUAUUGAUUUCUCACCUUCUAAAGAACCGUAAUGCCAUUAAUUUGGUGUCACGGGGAAUUAGGACUGUUACCUUGAAAAAAUUAGAGUGUUUAAAGCAGGCUCACGCUUGAAUACAUUAGCAUGGAAUAAUGAAAUAGGACAUCCGAUUCUAUUUUGUUGGUUUCUAGGAUCGAUGUAAUGAUUAAUAGGGAUAGUUGGGGGCAUUAGUAUUCAAUUGUCAGAGGUGAAAUUCUUGGAUUUAUUGAAGACUAACUACUGCGAAAGCAUUUGCCAAGGAUGUUUUCAUUAAUCAAGAACGAAAGUUAGGGGAUCGAAGACGAUCAGAUACCGUCGUAGUCUUAACCAUAAACUAUGCCGACUAGGGAUCGGAUGAUGUUAAUUUUUUAAUGACUCA
rnacentral:rRNA from 1 species